rnacentral:rRNA from 1 species
CCUACGGGAGGCAGCAGUAAGGAAUAUUGGUCAAUGGAGGCAACUCUGAACCAGCCAUGCCGCGUGCAGGAAGACUGCCCUAUGGGUUGUAAACUGCUUUUAUCCGGGAAUAAACCUCUUUACGUGUAGAGAGCUGAAUGUACCGGAAGAAUAAGGAUCGGCUAACUCCGUGCCAGCAGCCGCGGUAAUAUGGAGGAUCCAAGCGUUAUCCGGAUUUAUUGGGUUUAAAGGGUGCGUAGGCGGCCUGUUAAGUCAGGGGUGAAAGACGGUAGCUCAACUAUCGCAGUGCCCUUGAUACUGAUGGGCUUGAAUGGACUAGAGGUAGGCGGAAUGAGACAAGUAGCGGUGAAAUGCAUAGAUAUGUCUCAGAACACCGAUUGCGAAGGCAGCUUACUAUGGUCUUAUUGACGCUGAGGCACGAAAGCGUGGGGAUCAAACAGGAUUAGAUACCCUGGUAG